AUUGAACGCUGGCGGCAGGCUUAACACAUGCAAGUCGAGCGGAGAUGAGGUGCUUGCACCUUAUCUUAGCGGCGGACGGGUGAGUAAUGCUUAGGAAUCUGCCUAUUAGUGGGGGACAACAUUCCGAAAGGAAUGCUAAUACCGCAUACGUCCUACGGGAGAAAGCAGGGGAUCUUCGGACCUUGCGCUAAUAGAUGAGCCUAAGUCGGAUUAGCUAGUUGGUGGGGUAAAGGCCUACCAAGGCGACGAUCUGUAGCGGGUCUGAGAGGAUGAUCCGCCACACUGGGACUGAGACACGGCCCAGACUCCUACGGGAGGCAGCAGUGGGGAAUAUUGCACAAUGGGCGCAAGCCUGAUGCAGCGACGCCGCGUGAGGGAUGACGGCCUUCGGGUUGUAAACCUCUUUCAGCAGGGGAGAAGCGAAAGUGAC
rnacentral:rRNA from 1 species